CCCGCACAAGCGGUGGAGUAUAUGGUUUAAUUCGAUGCAACGCGAAGAACCUUACCUGGUCUUGACAUCCCGGAGACCCUUAGGAAACUAGGGGGUGCUUCCAUCUGGAAGAAUCUGGAGACAGGUGCUGCAUGGCUGUCGUCAGCUCGUGUCGUGAGAUGUUGGGUUAAGUCCCGCAACGAGCGCAACCCUUGCCUUUAGUUGCCAGCAGUUCGGCUGGGCACUCUAAAGGGACUGCCGGUGUUAAACCGGAGGAAGGUGGGGAUGACGUCAAGUCCUCAUGGCCUUUAUGACCAGGGCUACACACGUACUACAAUGGCCGAUACAAAGGGCAGCGACACUGCGAGGUGAAGCCAAUCCCGUAAAAUCGGUCUCAGUCCGGAUUGGAGUCUGCAACUCGACUCCAUGAAGUUGGAAUCGCUAGUAAUCGUGGAUCAGCAUGCCACGGUGAAUACGUUCCCGGGCCUU
rnacentral:rRNA from 1 species